rnacentral:rRNA from 1 species
GAUGAACGCUAGCGAUAGGCUUAACACAUGCAAGUCGAGGGGCAGCACAAGGUAGCUUGCUAUCUGGGUGGCGACCGGCGCACGGGUGCGUAACGCGUAUGCAACUUGCUCUAUAAAGGAGGAUAACCCGUCGAAAGACGGACUAAUACUGCGUAUGCUCACAACUUGGCAUCAAGUGGUGAGGAAAGAAAUUCGGCAUAGGAUAGGCAUGCGUUCCAUUAGCUUGUUGGUGAGGUAACGGCUCACCAAGGCAACGAUGGGUAGGGGAACUGAGAGGUUGAUCCCCCACACUGGUACUGCGACACGGACCAGACUCCUACGGGAGGCAGCAGUGAGGAAUAUUGGUCAAUGGGCGCUAGCCUGAACCAGCCAAGUCGCGUGAAGGAUGUCUGUCUUAUGGAUUGUAAACUUCUUUUAUACGGGAAUAACAAGAGUCACGUGUGACUCCCUGCAGGUACCGUAUGAAUAAGCAUCGGCUAACUCCGUG